rnacentral:rRNA from 1 species
ACGAAGGUGGCAAGCGUUACUCGGAAUUACUAGGCGUAAAGCGCGAGCAGGCGGUUUGGUAAGUCUGUUGUGAAAGCCCCGGGCUCAACCCGGGGAGGCCAAUGGAUACUGCCAGACUUGAAUACGGGAGAGGUCACUGGAAUUCCUGGUGUAGCGGUGAAAUGCGUAGAUAUCAGGAGGAACACCGAAGGCGAAGGCGGGUGACUGGACCGUUAUUGACGCUGAGUCGCGAAAGCCGGGGGAGCAAACAGGA